rnacentral:rRNA from 1 species
GGGGGUAUGAGCCUACCAAGGCGACGAUCGGUAGCUGGUCUGAGAGGACGAUCAGCCACACUGGGAUUGAGAACGGCCCAGACUCCUACGGGGGGCAGCAGUGAGGAAUUUUCCGCAAUGGACGCAAGUCUGACGGAGCAACGCCGCGUGCAGGAGGACGCUUUUCGGAGUGUAAACUGCUUUUCUGUGGGAAGAGGAUGGACGGUACCACAGGAAGAAGCCCCGGCUAACUACGUGCCAGCAGCCGCGGUAAUACGUAGGGGGCGAGCGUUGUCCGGAGUUACUGGGCGUAAAGGGCAUGCAGGCGGUCGGACGCGUUUUGUGUGACAGCGGGUGGCUUAACUACCCGAGUAUGCGAAAGACGGUCUGACUUGAGGGCUCGAGAGGGACACGGAAUUCCGGGUGGAGUGGUGAAAUGCGUAGAGAUCCGGAGGAACACCGAAGGCGAAGGCAGUGUCCUGGCGAGUGACUGACGCUGAGGUGCGAAAGCUAGGGGAGCGAACGGGAUUAGAUACCCCGGUAGUCCUAGCCGUAAACGAUGACCACCAGGUGUGGGAGGUAUCGACCCCUUCCGUGCCGGAGUAAACACACUAAGUGGUCCGCCUGGGGAGUACGGUCGCAAGAUUAAAACUCAAAGGAAUUGACG